rnacentral:rRNA from 1 species
GAUGAACGCUGGCGGCGUGCUUAACACAUGCAAGUCGAACGAAGCACUUUAUUUGAUUUCCUUCGGGACUGAUUAUUUUGUGACUGAGUGGCGGACGGGUGAGUAACGCGUGGGUAACCUGCCUUGUACAGGGGGAUAACAGUUGGAAACGGCUGCUAAUACCGCAUAAGCGCACAGCAUCGCAUGAUGCAGUGUGAAAAACUCCGGUGGUAUAAGAUGGACCCGCGUUGGAUUAGCUAGUUGGUGAGGUAACGGCCCACCAAGGCGAUGAUCCAUAGCCGACCUGAGAGGGUGACCGGCCACAUUGGGACUGAGACACGGCCCAAACUCCUACGGGAGGCAGCAGUGGGGAAUAUUGCACAAUGGGCGAAAGCCUGAUGCAGCGACGCCGCGUGAGCGAAGAAGUAUUUCGGUAUGUAAAGCUCUAUCAGCAGGGAAGAUAAUGACGGUACCUGACUAAGAAGCACCGGCUAAAUACGUG